rnacentral:lncRNA from 1 species
UGCUUCUUCAAGAUCAACCGCAUGUUUCUGCACAUCCAUCUGCAUCCAAGAACAUGCUGCCGCCACCACCACCACCACCCAGGAACAUGCUACCCCCACCUCCCAAGAGCAUGCCUCCGCCACCACCUAAGUUUCCUUCAAAUGAGAUGUCAAGAAAUGAGGAUAGGUGUGCAGAUUUAAACAAGCCAAUGGCACCUCCGAAGAGCAUGCCACCCCCACCUCCCAAGAGCAUGCCUCCGCCACCGCCUAAGUUUCCUUCAAAUGAGAUGUCAAGAAAUGAGGAUAGGCGUUCAGAUUUAAACAAGCCAAUGGCACCUCCGAGAUCCUUGGACGUGAGUUCAGUCUCACCACCAAAUUUGUAUUCAGCACAAUUACCUUCAAAGGAGCCUAGAGUGGUCAAACCUGGUGGGGCAUC